AACGCGAAGAACCUUACCUAGACUUGACAUCUCCUGCAUUACUCUUAAUCGAGGAAGUCCUUUCGGGGACAGGAUGACAGGUGGUGCAUGGUUGUCGUCAGCUCGUGUCGUGAGAUGUUGGGUUAAGUCCCGCAACGAGCGCAACCCUUAUUGUUAGUUGCCAUCAUUAAGUUGGGCACUCUAGCGAGACUGCCCGGGUUAACCGGGAGGAAGGUGGGGAUGACGUCAAAUCAUCAUGCCCCUUAUGUCUAGGGCUACACACGUGCUACAAUGGUCGGUACAAUAAGACGCAAGCCCGCGAGGGGGAGCAAAACUGGAAAACCGAUCUCAGUUCGGAUUGUAGGCUGAAACUCGCCUACAUGAAGCUGGAGUUGCUAGUAAUCGCGAAUCAGCAUGUCGCGGUGAAUACGUUCCCGGGUCUUGUACACACGC
rnacentral:rRNA from 1 species